GACGAACGCUGGCGGCGUGCUUAACACAUGCAAGUGGAGCGACGAACCAGGCUUCGGCCUGGGGCAGAGCCGCGAACGGGUGAGUAACACGUGGGUAACCUGCCUCGAUGACCGGGACAACCCGGGGAAACCGGGCUAAUACCGGAUGUGCUGCCUUCACAUCAGUGGAGACAGGAAAGGAAGCUUCGGCCUCCGCAUCGAGAUGGGCCCGCGGCCCAUUAGCUUGUUGGNGAGGUAAUGGCUCACCAAGGCCGCCGAUGGGUAGCUGGUCUGAGAGGACGAUCAGCCACACUGGGACUGAGACACGGCCCAGACUCCUACGGGAGGCAGCAGUGGGGAAUCUUGCGCAAUACGCGAAAGCGUGACGC
rnacentral:rRNA from 1 species